UGGGGAAUAUUGGACAAUGGGCGCAAGCCUGAUCCAGCCAUGCCGCGUGAGUGAUGAAGGCCCUAGGGUUGUAAAGCUCUUUCACCGGUGAAGAUAAUGACGGUAACCGGAGAAGAAGCCCCGGCUAACUUCGUGCCAGCAGCCGCGGUAAUACGAAGGGGGCUAGCGUUGUUCGGAAUUACUGGGCGUAAAGCGCACGUAGGCGGAUAUUUAAGUCAGGGGUGAAAUCCCGGGGCUCAACCCCGGAACUGCCUUUGAUACUGGGUAUCUGGAGUAUGGAAGAGGUAAGUGGAAUUCCGAGUGUAGAGGUGAAAUUCGUAGAUAUUCGGAGGAACACCAGUGGCGAAGGCGGCUUACUGGUCCAUUACUGACGCUGAGGUGCGAAAGCGUGGGGAGCAAACA
rnacentral:rRNA from 1 species